CUCUUAUCAAGAGUUGGCUGAGGGAAUUGGCCCAAUGAAGCCCAGCAACCGACCGUAAUACUAUCGUGAGAUAGGGCGCACUUUUUGGCGCCGGAAGUUCGCUACUUCCGCAGGGCACGGUGCUAAGUCCAACAGAAAGACUCGUUCUUUCUGAAAGAUAAGAG
rfam:Geobacillus sp. WCH70, complete genome.